rnacentral:rRNA from 1 species
UACGUAGGGUGCAAGCGUUGUCCGGAUUUAUUGGGCGUAAAGAGCUCGUAGGCGGCUUGUUGCGUCGACCGUGAAAACCCGCGGCUUAACUGCGGGCUUGCGGUCGAUACGGGCGGGCUGGAGUUCGGUAGGGGAGACUGGAAUUCCUGGUGUAGCGGUGAAAUGACGCAGAUAUCAGGAGGAACACCGGUGGCGAAGGCGGAUCUCUGGGCCUUACCUGACGCUGAGGCGCGAAAGCUAGGGGAGCGAACAGG